UCAGUUGUUGGGCGGGGUAAUGGCCCCACCCAGGGGUAAGACGGGUUAGCUGUUUGAGGAAGAAGAUCAGCCACACUGGAACUUGAGACACGGUCCCAGACACCUUCGGGUGGGCAGCAGUUUGGAAUCAUUCACAUGGGAGGAACUUCUGAUGGUGGGACGCCGCGUGGGGGAUGAAGGUCUUCGGAUUGUAAACCCCUGUCACCAAGGACUAAACCCCGGGCUCAUACCCCGGGCUGAAUAACUUGGAGAGGAAGCAGUGGCUAACUCCGUGCCAGCAGCCGCGGUAAUACGGAGACUGCAAGCGUUACUCGGAUUUACUGGGCGUAAAGGGUCCGCAGGUGGCCUAGUGUGUCAGGUGUGAAAGCCCACGGCUCAACCGUGGAAUUGCGCCUGAAACUACUGGGCUAGAGGCUCGGAGAGGGCAGUGGAAUUCCAGGUGUAGCGGUGAAAUGCGUAGAUAUCUGGAGGAACACCAACGGCGAAGGCAGCUGCCUGGACGAGUACUGACACUCAGGGACGAAAGUGUGGGGAGCAAAAGGGAUUAGAUACCCCUGUAGUCCACACCCUAAACUUUGUGCACUAGGUAUUGGAGGAUUCGACCCCUUCAGUGCCCAAGCUAACGCGUUAAGUGCACCGCCUGAGGACUACGGCCGCAAGGCUACUGUCG
rnacentral:rRNA from 1 species